UGAAAUAUUCUAUGACCAACAGAAAAAAUUCUAUGACCUUCACAGCCAAUCCUGUUUCCUCCUCUCCAUCCCCCGGGGUCUAAAAUGAGAUCAGCAACUGAAGUCACCCAGAGAUAAUCCAGGUGAACCCUGGAGCUUUGAUAUAAACAAAGGUUCCAGCUGGCUUGGACUCAACUCUGCCCUGCUCCUUAAAAUACUCCUCCUUAGAGCCAGGUUUCUCACUGUCAGAGAAAACAAGAAUGAACUUUAAUGGCGUCCACUGGAAUUGGAAUCUGGCUAUCAGCGUGAAGUCAUGACUUCCAAGCCCUAGAGAAAGCUAUCGAGAGAAAUACAGAUAGUACAGCUGCGUGCACAAUUGAAAAUCUGCUUUUGUGCAGCCUUCAAAGGUUUCACACACACACAGCCUCUUCAUCUUCUUCGUUGACUCUCUCUCCCCCAUUUGUGGAGACAGGGGUGUGGCCCGCUAUUUCCUGGGCUCUCCCACAUCUCUUCUAUCACAAAUAGAAACUGCUGCGGGAAAGCACUGGGGGAUUAAAAAACUAAGACCCAAGGAGAAAAACAAAACAGGGUGGGGGGAUGGGGUGACUGGGUGAUGGGCAUCAAGGAGGGCCGUUGUGGAAUGAGCCCUGGGUUUGCUGUGCAACUGAACUCUACCUCAGAAAUGCACUGUAUGUAAUAAUACACUAUU